UCUGUCUGUGUCUCCAGGAAGGGGAGCCCCAUCUGCUGCCACACAGGGGGAUAAGAAGAAGAUGAAGAAGGAAAGAAAAUUGCACACAGCUUUUCCAAACUCCAUCCCACUUGAGUGUGACUCAGAGAAGCUGGUUUUGACACUGCCAGUGUGCUGCCUCAUCCAGUCGGUGACCUCGUGCGAUCCGGAUGUCCAGCUAGUUGACUCCAUGUUCUCUACCAACUGACUGCGGGUGGAAAUUUAAAGCCCCAGCCUCCCAGGUGGUCAAGUCUCUGCUGAUCAAACAGUUGCUGCAAGAUUCACAGUGUGAUGGAGGUACACUGAACAACUGCCAUCCCAUAUCAAACAUAGUUUCUUGCCAUUAACUCAUCAUAUCCUCUCCAUGGACGCCUCCCCCGAGUCGCCAUGCAUGUAAUAAAGACUGUGUCAUUCGGUG